UGUGUCCAGCUGCAGUGAAGCUAAAUAUUUUACUCUGCAGUUCACAGUUUCGGUGUGAUGAUGGAAGUGUUACUGCAUUUAGUUCCGCUGUUGAUCAUUUCAUCUGUUAGUGGUCAGUCUUUGACCUCCUCAGACUCUGUGGUGAAAAAGCCUGGAGAAUCAGUGACUCUGUCCUGCACUGUGUCUGGAUUCUCAAUGAGCAGCUAUUACAUGCACUGGAUCCGUCAGAAACCAGGGAAAGCACUGGAGUGGAUUGGGCGUAUUGAUGGUGGCACUAGCACUAUUUUUGCUCAGCCUCUACAGGACCAGUUCUCCAGUUCUCUCCUCAAAAAAUUAUUUGAUCCCCUGCUGAUUUUGUACGUUUGCCCACUGACAAAGAAAUGA